GCAACUAAGCCCCGUGUGCUACAACUACUGAGCCUGUGUGCUGCAACUACUGAAGCCUGCGCUCUAGAGCCCGUGAGCCACAACAAGAGAAGCCACCGCAAUGAGAAGCUCGUGCACCACAACGAAGAGUAGCCCCCGCUCACCGCAACUAGAGGAAGCCCGCGUGCAGCAACGAAGACCCAACGCCGCCAUAAAUAAAUAAAUUUAUUAAAAAAAAAAAAAGAAGAAGAAGAAUCUAUGGCCCAAGUGGUGUCCAUUUGCAGCUCUGCCGUCCUGACGGGGAGGGAGUAUUACUGAGCCAGGGUUAAAAGCACAGUUCAGCUGAGCUGCCUUCCUCUCCUGCAGGCUCUAGAACUCUCUCCUGCGUGGUCCGGCGUGCUCUGGCCCACCCUGUUAGUGCAUGGAUGUUUGAUUGCCUUCUGCCAAGCCUUGGCAUCCUCUUCCCCAUCUGUCCGAACCUCAAGCUCUGAGUUCUGAGUCUUUAUUAGCUGGUACAUAAGAAAGACUCAUGAAUCCUCAGCAAUCUCAGUGACCUUAACAACAUGGUGCAUCAUCUUCCUGCGUCUAACUGGAGGCCCCAUCUCUGCAACCUCUCACAGCUCUCGCCUCCCUAUGAGGGAUGAGGGUCCUUUCCUGGGAAGGGGUACUUCAGCUCCUGCCAGGCAUUCACUGAAGAUGACAACAGCCACGACAUUCCCUGCUUAAUACAGCUAAAUAUCUAUUCAGCCAGCAUGUUCCUCCAAAGCCAUUGGGCAUUGUGGCUUAAUUACGUCUUAAUCAAGGCUGCACAGUUACCUCAGGAAACUCAAGUGUUUCUAGUGGGUGUGGCUUAAAGAUGACAGGUAGCUUCAUCUUUAGACAGUCUAUGAAUUAUACGGAUUUUACUCAACGGGUUUCCAAAGUCGGUUUUUAUGUAUUCCUCUUAUACACCUUUGCUGCAGAAUCUUUACUUCCUGCUUCUGCCUGCAUCCAUGGACCACCGCCAGCUGAUUUCUUCCACAUGAAGCAGGUUCCGUGGUGCAGAUCUGGACUCGGCUUUCACAUGGGGUUCAGGACAUCUGCGACCUUUGUCAGUAGAGAUAAAUUGUCUUCUGGACCACCGUUAACCAGACAGAACAAGAUAGAAAUGGCGCAAACAUGUUUCUAAGGAAGCAAGAUCUGAAAUGUCCUGUGCCUCAACCCCAGAGAAGCAGCAUCCGGAGCUGUUGGAAGAAGCCAAGGACCAACAAGCCCGCCCCUCUGAGAUGUGAAGCUCACUCUUCAUGCUCCCACGAGCCUUCUUCCUACCUUUUUGAGGACAGUCAGUGGGAAGACUGUCUUCUCACAGUUAGACUCUUUAAACCAGACAGCUUUCCACUAAUAUUUCAUUUUAGAAGGUUGAAAUCUGGUUUCACAGGAAACUCAUUCCACAGAGACUUUUCCCUUCCACUCAGAUCCAAUUAUUGGAAACAAAGAUGUACACAGCACCUCCUUUAAAAAAAGGAAAAAUAGUUCAAACUCGGGGGCAGCAGAAAAUGAAACCACAGCCAUUUGUCAAAAGGCCCAUUAAGCCCAUUAUUUUCUGAAAGGACAUCUUUUGGCAGCCUUUUGUCAGUUCCAAAUUUAGAGGUGCUCAUUCAGGAUGUGAGAGUGGAAAUGAUGAAGUUAAGAGAGGCUCCACUGAUGCUCUUUUUAAGCCAACCCAUGUGUCCUCAUCAGGGGGAUGCAAAAUUCAUUAGGAAAAUGAGGUCUCCUUGGCUGAAAGCUGCUCCCUCUGUUCCCAUUACCAUCCGCACCUCUCAGAACCACUCGAUGACCUGCCUGCCCCAGAACACCUUGUAGCCCCACAGCUGGAUUCUGACUGUAGUAGCUGUAGUGACUCCUGAAGCACUGCCGGGGCCACUCCUGGCUUUUCCUCCUGGAGCUCCAAGGGAUCCCUGUUCAGUGCCCUUCUCUUCUGUCCUCAGUCCCUGGCUCCUCCACCUUUCCUGAAGGAGAAAAAUAAGGAGUGAGGUCAUUGUAACUCACAGGGCUGGAGAAUCUCUAUCCUCUUGAUGGGAAAGCCCUUCGCUUUUGCUCCUUCUCCCAGACUGUUGGUCUCUGAUACACAUAGCCCCUCCAGCAUCAUCGCUGGCGUUUGCAGGCGGGAGCCUUGGAGUUGGAGCCCACAGUUUUGAACACCUAAUCCACAGCUUCCGCUCUGAAAGACCCUUGAAAAGAUAACUGACUUCAGAAUGUCUGACUUACUUAUCCAAAGGGGCAAUUGUGAGAAUCAGAAAACAUUAUUCACGGAACACUGUACUGCGUUGAAUAAUAUCCUCCAAAAAUCCAUGUCUACCUGGAAUCUGUGAAUGUGACCUUAUUUGGAAACAAAGUCUUCGCAGGUGCAUUCAAGUUCAGAUGAGGUCACACUGGAUUAGGCAUUUAUAAAAUGAAUUACUUGGGACCAAGCUGGUAUCUGCAGAGUGAAGAGUAAUCGUCGAUUGGUUUGAGAAGGCAUGAGUCUUACAGAGAGCUGUGUUCCCGUGAAACGAUGACCAAGGCUCUGCCUCAGCUGGAAAAUAUAUUGAUAAGUUGUGUGGAAUCAAUCAAUCAGGGAAGGCAGACAUGAUGUAAGAAGUCUAACUACCCUGUGACCACCAAUUUGGGAGAAGCCAGCCUAGCCAUGUGUAGCAGCCACGUGGAGGAGAACCGAGGCCUCCAGCCAACAGCCCCAGCUGUGCUUCUAGCUGACGACCAGGACCAACCUGCCAGCCCUCAGUGAGGCCACCUUCAAAGUGGAUCCUUUGAUGCCCCAUGAAAUGUCCGUACCUAGCCCUGCUCAGAUUACAGAAUCCUGAGCAAAUCAAUAAAAUGGUGGUUGUUUAAGCCACUAAGUUUGGGGAUAAUUUGUUACACUGCAGUAGAUAACCAAACAGACAUCUAGUCUCAGCUCAAACUCUUCUAGGAACAGGAGACUCUGUGCUUUAUAAAGUAAUUCAUUCCAUUUUUUAAAAUAGCAAUAAUUGCUAGAACAUUCUUUUCUACAUUUAACCCAAAUCUGCCUUCCUAUCAUUCACAACCUGUCUCUAUGGAGAGUAAGUCUACGUCCUCUUGCAUGGCAGCUCUUCCAGUGUCUACAGGUAAUCAUGACCGUCACUCCCUACACCUCCCACCCUCAUGUUACUCCCAUGCCUGAGGCAUGCAUACAAGCCUUCUCUUUUUAGAGAUAAACAUCACCAGCUCCUUCAAGUCCCAUUCUUUCCUUAAAAGCUCAAACUCUUACAGGUAUAUCAGAUGCCAUCUAGAAGCGCACAAGGGAGUUUUCUUCACUUUUAAGAGAACACCAGUAUUUCAGGCCAUGGUUUGCUCAGAAAUAUUUUGUCAGAAAAUUACUGGUUAGAAAAAAUAUAUAUGAAUUAUUAUUUAUGUUUGCUGCAAAUGCAACCAGUAAAGAAGAUGAGUGAGGUUGUUAUCUAUUUAAGGCAGAGAACUCUCUUUGAGUCGUUUGGGUUGCUCUCAAAAGGCUUCAAAACCCGACUGUCCUUAUGCAGACAAAGAUUUUCUUUGAUAUGGCAAGUCUGUUUCUAAGUUACUGCUGGAAACAGGCUGUGACGCUGGGAAUUCAAUUAUUGACCCAACUUCAUGGUCAGUCAGUGCUGGUGACUGUACCACAGCAGACAUAUGGAGCUCUACAUUUGCGAUGAGAUGGCCAAGUGAUGGAUGGAUGUAGCCAGUGUUUCUCUGGUCCUUGUUCAAGUAAGACUGUGUGUAUUAUAAGAAGAUGACACCUUAGCCGUUUUAAAGAGUCAAUAUAAGAUGGAAUGGCAUCUGGGGGCAAAGUGAAUGCAUAUUAUUGCUCCAGAUAUUUUUUCCCUAAAGCAUCGCAGAAUUUCCGUAUUGUACAGAAGGGUCUAUAUGGGGAGGAUUGCCUGGAGUCAUACAGCUGGGUUUGUCCCUCCAGCUCUGUCACUCCUUGGCUUUCUUACAAUGGACUAAAUUAUAAUACAAAAUCUCUCUGUGAAUUAAUUUCAUCCUUUAUGAAAUUGAAAUAAAUACUUUACAGCAUUGGUGGAAACACUGACAAACUCUCUAUUAAACAUGUUAUAAAUAAUAAAGUGGCAUAUAAGUAUAAAGGUCACUGCGUGUCCAUGUAGACACCCUUUAACACACUAGACCUCUUCAAAUUCCAACGACCUCACCAACCAUAAAUUUGUUUUCUACAUCUGUGACUCUAUUUCUGUUUUGUAAAUAAGUUCAUUUGUACCACUUUACAUAGGGAACUCUACUCAAUACUCUGUAAUGAUCUAUAUGGGAAAAGAUUCUAUAUAAGAGUGGUUAACUGAUUCACUUUGCUGUACAUCUGAAACUAACACAACAUUGUAAAUCAACUAUACUCCAAUAAAAUAUUUUUUUAAAAAAAAGAAUAA